CUGGCCCUUUAUUUGACGGUAAUCAACCCAGAAAAGUCACGGCUAACUACGUGCCCAGCAGCCGCGGUAAUACGUAGGUGGCAAGCGUUGUCCGGAUUUAUUGGGCGUAAAGCGAGCGCAGGCGGAAGAAUAAGUCUGAUGUGAAAGCCCUCGGCUUAACCGAGGAACUGCAUCGGAAACUGUUUUUCUUGAGUGCAGAAGAGGAGAGUGGAACUCCAUGUGUAGCGGUGGAAUGCGUAGAUAUAUGGAAGAACACCAGUGGCGAAGGCGACUCUCUGGUCUGCAACUGACGCUGAGGCUCGAAAGCAUGGGUAGCGAACAGGAUUAGAUACCCUGGUAGUCCAUGCCGUAAACGAUGAGUGCUAAGUGUUGGGAGGUUUCCGCCUCUCAGUGCUGCAGCUAACGCAUUAAGCACUCCGCCUGGGGAGUACGACCGCAAGGUUGAAACUCAAAGGAAUUGACGGGGGCCCGCACAAGCGGUGGAGCAUGUGGUUUAAUUCGAAGCAACGCGAAGAACCUUACCAGGUCUUGACAUCUAGUGCCAUCCUAAGAGAUUAGGAGUUCCCUUCGGGGACGCUAAGACAGGUGGUGCAUGGCUGUCGUCAGCUCGUGUCGUGAGAUGUUGGGUUAAGUCCCGCAACGAGCGCAACCCUUGUUAUUAGUUGCCAGCAUUAAGUUGGGCACUCUAAUGAGACUGCCGGUGAUAAACCGGAGGAAGGUGGGGAUGACGUCAAGUCAUCAUGCCCCUUAUGACCUGGGCUACACACGUGCUACAAUGGACAGUACAACGAGAAGCGAGCCUGCGAAGGCAAGCGAAUCUCUGAAAGCUGUUCUCAGUUCGGACUGCAGUCUGCAACUCGACUGCACGAAGCUGGAAUCGCUAGUAAUCGCGGAUCAGAACGCCGCGGUGAAUACGUUCCCGGGCCUUGUACACACCGCCCGUCACACCAUGGAAGUCUGCAAUGCCCAAAGCCGGUGGCCUAACCUUCGGGAAGGAGCCGUCUAAGGCAGGGCAGAUGACUGGGGUGAAGUCGAACCAAGGAGUUGAGG
rnacentral:rRNA from 1 species